rnacentral:misc_RNA from 1 species
UAAUAAGUGUUUUAUGGCACUUUUUAAAUCCAUAUCCACCUUGUGUGCAAUGUCGGUUGUUUUCUUUUUGAAAGCAGCCAAACAUCAACUUAUUUUUUUAACUGUUUGUCUGAAAAAUAUUAUGAAUAACUAAUUCAAAUA